GCCAGUGUAGCCUCUGUUAUCUAAUUUGAUCCACACAGCAGCCCUAUGGUACCCAUCCUGUUCACGAUGAGGAAACCGAGACUCCGAGACGUGAAGUAAUGCGCCUGGGUCCCACAGUUAAUCAAUGGCAGAUUAUGGUUUUCAACGUGAAAAAGAACAAAAUUCCACCCAACACCAAGCAAAUCCAACUGGACCUGAUGGUUUCCACUGUGAGCAAUGAGGCACCCUGAGGAGAGGCCAUGUGAACGUACAGCAAGGAGGAGGCCAUCUGCAAGACAAGAAGAGAGCUCUCACCAGAACCCAAACAUGCUGGAAACCUGAUUUUAGACUUCCAGCCUCCAGAACUAUGAGAAAAACUGAGACCUGGAAAGACUGAAGUACUCCAACAGGGAACAGGAGAACUAAAGUCAAAGGAGCCCCCAGGGAGCCCCUGUAGGUCUGCAGUCUCCACUUACCCGUCCAGUGGAAGAAC